CACGUAGUUAGCCGGCGCUUCUUUACCCACUACCCUCACCACAACCCAAAGCUGCGGCUUGACCAUGAGCGAAAGAGGUUCACAACCCGAAGGCCUACAUCCCUCACGCGGCGUCGCUGCAUCAGACUUGCGUCCAUUGUGCAAAAUUCCCCACUGCUGCCUCCCGUAGGAGUCUGGGCCGUAUCUCAGUCCCAAUGUGACCGGUCACCCUCUCAGGCCGGUUACCCGUCAAAGCCCUUGGUAGGCCACUACCCCACCAACAAGCUGAUAGGCCGCGAGCCCAUCCCCCACCAAAAACACCCAAAAGCAUCUCUUUCCACACACCCCCAUGCGAAGACAUGUGAAUAUUCAGUAUUAGCAGCCCUUUCAGACCGUUAUCCCAAAGAAGAGGGCAGGUUACUCACGUGUUACUCACCCGUUCGCCACUAAUCAACGGUGCACGCACCGCAUCAUCGUUCGACUUGCAUGUGUUAAGCACGCCGCCAGCGUUCGUCCUGUAGCCACGGAA
rnacentral:rRNA from 1 species